AGCGAACGCUGGCGGCAUGCCUAACACAUGCAAGUCGAACGAGACCUUCGGGUCUAGUGGCGCACGGGUGCGUAACGCGUGGGAACCUGCCCUUAGGUUCGGAAUAACUCCCCGAAAGGGGUGCUGAUACCGGAUAAUGUCUUCGGACCAAAGAUUUAUCGCCUUUGGAUGGGCCCGCGUUGGAUUAGCUAGUUGGUAGGGUAAAAGCCUACCAAGGCGACGAUCCAUAGCUGGUCUGAGAGGAUGAUCAGCCACACUGGGACUGAGACACGGCCCAGACUCCUACGGGAGGCAGCAGUGGGGAAUAUUGGACAAUGGGCGAAAGCCUGAUCCAGCAAUGCCGCGUGAGUGAUGAAGGCCUUAGGGUUGUAAAGCUCUUUUACCCGGGAUGAUAAUGACAGUACCGGGAGAAUAAGCUCCGGCUAACUCCGUG
rnacentral:rRNA from 1 species